CUGUUGAUCCGAGUCUGUAGUUAAUUUAACAUUUGCGUUCUCUAUUGGUGAUGUGUGUGGCUUUAUAGGGCUUUUUUUUUCCAGUUUGUUUUAUUACUGUGUUUGGGAUGCUUCUUUGCUGGUGCAGUCUACCCAGAUUUGGUUCCCUUUGCAAAACAUCCCCCUGCCUGGAGAUGAUGAGAACGUUGGAGCCCAGGCCAGGGCCUGACCUGGCAGGCACACAUCUGGCCGGUGGUUCUGAGGUCCCCAGGGACCGAGUACCCUAUGAGGGCAGGCUACCUGAGGCCACACCUGCCCACCUCCCCUACUCCAGGCCACCAACUAGUGUCAGAUUGGGCCACAGGGAGGGAGAGAACAGGCCUAGCAGGGAAUGGAGGGCUGGGGCGGAGGCUGUCACCCAGAGGCCUCCUCCCCAGAGAGCUCCACGGGGAACCUGGCUCAACUGGGGGGCAGUGGUUUACUUUCCCUUUUUUCUUCCUUUCUUUUGUCCUCUCGGCUGCCCACAGCCAGUAAGCCAGGACCACCCGAACUGGACAGGGCACAGGGAGGGAGGAGUGGUCGGACGGAGCGUACCUGAUUCAACAGAAAAUCAAUUGUUUCUAAAACAGCCCCUACCAGAGCCUCCUGAAUUCUGUGGACACCACGUGCUGCUGUGAGCUUCUGCCCAAACCUUGACCAGCCACAGGCCCCGGGCGCCUUUGGAAGGAGUUUUGUAAAGGAAAACACACACACACACACACACACACACACACACACACACACGUUUUCAAUGUAGCAAAAUCAAACUAAAAAGGAAGAAAAAAGAAGAUGCCGACGGUGCGAAGUCUAGCCUUCUGUAACCUUCAUAUUGCACACUAGGACUAUAAGCCAUUGCUAGCUCAUUUUGAAUUUUAACGUGUAAUUUUUGUUUUAUUUUAUUUCUGUGGGGAAGACAAUGCUUGAUCCACCAAUGCUCUUUUUAAUGUUUUAUAACUAUGUAUGUGUAUAUAUAUAAAUACAAAAUAACAUGUAUGCACAUAUGUGUGUGUAUAUAUCUAUAUGUAUAUACAUAUAUAGAUAUAUAGAGAUAUAUAGAGAGGUUUUGAGACAAAAAAAUGCAGAACGUGAAACCCGAACUGAACAGCGUGUGCUCUGAUUACUUGAAUCUGGUCUCCUCGGCACCUGGUUAUUAAGAACUGAAUAUUUUUCCACUUGAAUUUAGUGCUAUUAGAAAUUUAAUAUAUGUGUUUUAUUUAUUUGAUUUUUUUUUUUUUGCAUGACUGAUGCAAGGUUUGACAUUUUCACUCAAUAAAAACUGGAAAAAAAAUCUAUCAAGUUAUCUUUUAUUUUUAAAAGCAUCCGUGAAUGACCCAGCUACACCAGUAGGGUGAGGGGGGCGGAGCUGGGAACUCUUGGACCCUGACAGGAAAAGGGGGGAACAGACCAGUUUGUCUCUAGGCAUGAGGCCAGGUUCUCCCAGGCUAUUGGGGACAGAGAUAUGGGGCUCAGGCCUAGCCUGGCCAGAAGGGUGGCCUCCUCCCCAGCCUUGCCUGAAGCCCCCACUUGGGGUUCAGGAGCCACCUUCAGGCAGAGCCAUCUGACACCAAGGCCUGGGGGGGGUAGGACAAAGGCUCUGUGGCCUCCCAGGACACCUACCCCAGCCAACCCUCUCCUCUCCUGCUGGGCUGCUGGGCCGGUGUUGGCAGGGCCACCCUCCUGCCUCCUCCCUCGGCUCCUUCCUCCUUCCUGCAGGGACCUGCCCAGGCUGGGAACGGCGUGUACCCGGAUCCAAUCCGGAUGCUGGCUCGGCUCCUGCCUGGAGCACUGGGUGGCAGAGCCAGAGGGGGCUGAUAAUUCCUGGGUUCAUAGCCACCGACCCAGAGCCUGAGCUGCCAGCCCUGGUGGCACUGUGGUUGGCUCCCUUGGAAGCACAGUGGCCAGAGUGCCCACCAGGCUUAGCUUGGAGUGCAGGCCUCCCAGGUGCUCCAGGAGUUUGCCCUGACACUUCCAACUGGUGGCUGGUUUCUCACAACACCACAUCGUGGGAAUCACCUUGGCAGCCCUGCCCUGAGCCGGCCUCCAGGUGUCCGGAGCUUCCUAGGGCCUUGAGGAGAGGACACGUGCAGGGCCGGCCACGGUCUUCCACGCUGAGGAGUCUUACUGGUUUGUCACACCCCAACCACAGGGAUGUCACAUCCACUUUCAUAACAAGGAAACAGGCAGACUUCAGGGGGCUGGAGAGGUUCACAUCUCCCUCACUGAGCCUGGCACCAGCCGGCCAGGCACCAGGGACCAGGGACAGCAGGGGAGUGGCCUCAGCCCACAGCGCCCGGGCCCAUAUCAUUUCCCACCGCAGAAGUACGUCUCCAGCCCAGCCCCAGCGCGCGGGCACUCCCUUUCUUCUUUCCUCCUGGAACGCGGCC